UACGGGGGGAGCAAGCGUUGUUCGGAUUUACUGGGCGUAAAGGGCGCGUAGGCGGUCGUGACAAGUCACUUGUGAAAUCUCCGGGCUUAACUCGGAAAGGUCAAGUGAUACUGUCGGACUAGAGUACAGAAGGGGCAACUGGAAUUCUCGGUGUAGCGGUGAAAUGCGUAGAUAUCGAGAGGAACACCUGCGGCGAAGGCGGGUUGCUGGGCUGAUACUGACGCUGAGGCG
rnacentral:rRNA from 1 species